rnacentral:snoRNA from 1 species
AAUCUCCAAAUUCCUUAUCCCUUGGAUCUAAAUAUUGGUCGGAGUAGCUAAAAAGAGGAGAGAAAGUAAAAUUGAAGUGGACUUGGAGCCUUCAGUGACAUACAAAUUCAUUUCAAACAUAG